CCCUACGGGAGGCAGCAGUGGGGAAUUUUGGACAAUGGGGGCAACCCUGAUCCAGCCAUGCCGCGUGAGUGAAGAAGGCCUUCGGGUUGUAAAGCUCUUUCGGCCGGGAAGAAAUCGCACAGGCUAAUACCCUGUGUGGAUGACGGUACCGGCAUAAGAAGCACCGGCUAACUACGUGCCAGCAGCCGCGGUAAUACGUAGGGUGCGAGCGUUAAUCGGAAUUACUGGGCGUAAAGCGUGCGCAGGCGGUUAUACAAGACAGGCGUGAAAUCCCCGGGCUUAACCUGGGAAUGGCGUCUGUGACUGUAUAGCUAGAGUGUGUCAGAGGGGGGUGGAAUUCCACGUGUAGCAGUGAAAUGCGUAGAGAUGUGGAGGAACACCGAUGGCGAAGGCAGCCCCCUGGGCCGAUACUGACGCUCAUGCACGAAAGCGUGGGGAGCAAACAGGAUUAGAUACCCUGGUAGUCCACGCCCUAAACGAUGUCAACUAGUUGUUGGUAGGGUUAAACCUAUUAGUAACGUAGCUAACGCGUGAAGUUGACCGCCUGGGGAGUACGGUCGCAAGAUUAAAACUCAAAGGAAUUGACGG
rnacentral:rRNA from 1 species